rnacentral:lncRNA from 1 species
UACUUGAUCUUUCUUCUUGGAGGAUUGUUGUCAACAUUGGAUUCAUUCUAUGUGUGAACUUCUUCGACUACUUCUUCAUCAACUCUCUGUAUUGUUGUAGAGUAACAAUGUUUUUUUUCAUUCGGCUCAUCUUGUGUGCUCAUGUAAUUCUCCAUUAUGCAUUCCUCACUUAUGUUAUAUAUAAGACUAGGAAUCUUUGUACCUCCUAUAUGGACAUUGUCUAAGUUAGAAGAAUUCUAUAUUUCAAGAUCACAACUUGAUAUCUUACAGGGAAACACAUUCUCAUGAAAUUAUCAUAUUUCUUGAGAAGAUAAUUU